UGGGGAAUAUUGCACAAUGGGCGCAAGCCUGAUGCAGCCAUGCCGCGUGUAUGAAGAAGGCCUUCGGGUUGUAAAGUACUUUCAGCGGGGAGGAAGGGAGUACAGUUAAUACCUUUGCUCGUUGACUUUACCCGCAGAACAAGCACCGGCUAACUCCGUGCCAGCAGCCGCGGUAAUACGGAGGGUGCAAGCGUUAAUCGGAAUUACUGGGCGUAAAGCGCACGCAGGCGGUUUGUUAAGUCAGAUGUGAAAUCCCAGGGCUCAACCUGGGAACUGCAUCUGAUACUGGCAAGCUGGAGUACCGUAGAGGGGGGUAGAAUUGAAGGUGUAGCGGUGAAAUGCGUAGAGAUCUGGAGGAAUACCGGUGGCGAAGGCGGCCUCCUGGACGAAGACUGACGCUGAGGUGCGAAAGCGUGGGGAGCAAACAGG
rnacentral:rRNA from 1 species